AAGAAAGCACAAAUCAAAUUUGAAUAAACGAAGAAUUCAAUCCUUACAGCAGAGAAGUCUGCUGCAAAUGGUAAAUUUCGGAGAGGAGCAGAGAGUGAG